CCCGGGCCGGCUGCCGGGCGGGGCCUGCUCCUCGCGCCCGCGGCCUGCGGACCUUCGUCACCUCACGCUGCACCUCGACGUCGCGCACCUGCGGGGGACCCAGCCACGCGCCGCUCAGCCGAAAGAGGGGCCUUUGUGGAUCUACAUAGAUAAUACAGGGUCGUUAAAGAGGUUUCAAACCAACCAUAGCAAGAAUCAAGAAGAAUAAGGCCACACGAAAUCCCAGCACAGUAUUCCAUUGAAUGUAUACACAAGAAUAUAUCCAUUCCACUGCUGAUGGGCAUUUGGGUUGUUUGCAUCAUUAUAAAACAAUGCAGUUGUGAGCAUUCUUCUUGUGCAUCUGACUGUUGAGAUAACAGAACAGAAGCUUCAGUGAGCAUACAGGACAAGGAUUACAAUCUUUGCAAAAGUAGUUUGGAAAUGGACAAUUGCAACCUUCAACAAUCAACACCAGAAAGCCCUACGGAGAGGGAGAGAAUCUAUAGAGAUGGUAAAGAAACUGAGACCAGAGAUGCAAAGUUAUGUCUCCAUGAUGGAUAUUAAGUUGCAAAAGUCAAAUUUAAACUCAGUUCUGCUGACUCCAAAGUCGUCCCUCUCAGUAGCAUCUGUAUUUCAACAAGGAUCAAAGUGUUCCAUGAAAGCUGCAGGACUCAAACCAGGGACUUUUGGAGAUAUUUGGGAGACUGGAGCACAGCCCCCCGCCCCCCACCAGCGGCCCAUGACAAGCCAGCACAGCAGUAACUUGUGACAUGUCCCCAGAAGUAAGCCUUAUUCUAAGGGGUAGUACUGCAGCCCCAAUCCUUGGCUGCCCCGAAUGGCCUUCCUGUCAAGUCCAAAGCCUGCCUUCCUCUGGGGCCAAGGCUUCUGAAUUGCUUUCUGCAGGUUCAUUCCUACCUUUCAUUAGAUUAGGUGCAAACACUCUGAGUAAACAAAAUAAAAAUUCUCUAGCACCAGCAGCCCACUGCUAACAGCUACUCUGGAUGAUUUUCUUUUAGUUAAUAAUUCAAUUGCAAAAAAAAAAAAAAAGAAAGAAAGAAAAAAAAAGAGGGGCUUGGCAGGGACUUGGCUUCAGCUACAAAUCAACUUCAGACCCCAGAGGCACUUGAAAGAACUACUAGUGCCCACAAUGGCUCUUCAGUGCAGCCUGUGUUUAUUCAGGACCAGCCCACAACCUCCAUAGCCCUAAAGGCAGCCUGCAUGUAAAUGCUACAUUGUGCAGUGAUUUUUUUAUUAUGUGGCUUCAGGCUGGUGGUAGAUGAUUUGUGAGACUGCUUCAGAUCCAUCACACUUGAAAUUUUACAUUUGCUGGUAUCUAUUGCUUUUGAAGCUCAUUCAUUCAUCCUUCCAUUCUUCAAAGGUUAAUUAAAUGCCUACUGUGCUAGGCACUGUAUUAGCUACCAGAGAUAGGGAGACAUAAAAGGCCAUGGUCAUUGCCCUAAAGAGAAGAUGCUAAGAAGAGACCCAUGUAAUCCCCUGGCAAGUUCCUUAUUAUACUGAGAGCAUUCCCGUAACACUUGCCGUGCUCUCUUCUUGGGAUCCUUUGAUGAGUUAACAACAGAUUGCUGUUUAUGAUUAACAUCACACACAUAACAUCAUCAAACAUAGAUUGAGAAACUACUAUGAACCUGAGAAACUACUAUGAACCCGGUACUUCUCAAGGCAGCAGAGAUAACAACACAGAAAAGGCAUAGACUAGUCCUCAGACUGGAGAGAGAGAUCUGCCAAAUAAUUGUUGCAUUAAAGAGCCAUAAUUACUAAGAGACAACUGUUCAGGCUACAGUGGAAGCACAAAGGAGAGAGUCAUCAAUGGAAAGACUGGACUAAGUUACAAAGUGGACUUCACAAAGGCGGUGUUGCUGGUAAUGAAUCAAGAAAGAUGAGCAGGUGUUCAUCCAGGUGGACCAUGGGAAACGGAGUGUCCCCAAUACCAUGGAAAGUACCUCACUCAUUCUUUUACCAGACGUUUAUUGAGCACCUUUAUGUGGCAGGCAUGGAAUUGGGGCCGUACUAGACACUGGUGAUAAAGAGGAUGGUAAGACCCCCUGGAAACUUAUUCUCCAGAGAAAGGGAUAGACCCAUCAAUACAUAAUUACAGCACAGUGACCUAAGCUGUUACAGUUACAAGGUGUUCAUGAGGUUACUUAUGGUUUCCUUCUCACAUCUGGACAACAUUAGACUGUUGUCAUUAGACUGUCUACAUUAGAGUCUGACUUUCUAGAACAUAAUCCUAAUUUAAUAAGAAGAAAUGCUUACAGGGUUUAUAAAAGGUAAGAGUAGAGAUUUGAGAAUCAAAUAUACAGUUUUGACAAGCUAGCUGUAUGACCUUGGGUAAUUUGCAUAACCUACAUAGAAAAAAGCGAAUAUGUUCUCAUUUGCAACCUGACUAUAGAGUUCUUAUAAGGAUUAGAGAUAACACAUGCAUUACAAUGCUUGGUUAUCAUAGGUGAUCAAUAAAAGGCAAUUACUUCUUAGUGCACGUAUAACAUUGAGAAAUGAAUUUCCAGUACCAAAGGGAUACACUAAGUUUAUUUAGGACAAUCAUUACUCAUUACUUCACUGUUAAGAAAACUAUGAUCAAUAUUUGGCCUUCUGACUCUAUCUGCCCAGGAGAAACCUGGACAUAACAAGAUAUAAAUGACGCCGGUAAGCUAAUUAAAUUUUAAAAUCUUUAGUGGUUAUUCCAAGAGAUCCUGUUGAAUGAUGUAGGCCAUUAGAGUACUUGGUCAGAUUUUUAAACAGAAAAACAACUUCCCCUACAACCAUUAGAUAACAAGUUGGACAGUAUAGACAGUAUAGACUAGUCUAUGGAUUAUCUAGGGAUUUGAGCAUAGCCAGGCAUUUUUUUUUAAUGCAUGAAUCUGAAAUGAACCAAAGCAAAAUAUUUUGAAUAGAAACAAUGAGACUCUCAGGGAGGGCCUAAGCUCACUCCAUUUCUUAAAUACAAAUUUAAUGACCACAGAAUGUUUAUGAGUAGUGUGUGUGUAUGUAA